UACGGAGGGGGCUAGCGUUGUUCGGAAUUACUGGGCGUAAAGCGCACGUAGGCGGCUUUGUAAGUCCGCCGUCAAAUCCCAGGGCUCAACCCUGGACAGGCGGUGGAAACUACCAAGCUGGAGUACGGUAGGGGCAGAGGGAAUUUCCGGUGGAGCGGUGAAAUGCGUAGAGAUCGGAAAGAACACCAACGGCGAAAGCAACUCUGCUGGGCCGACACUGACACUGAGAGACGAAAGCUAGGGGAGCGAAUGGG
rnacentral:rRNA from 1 species